rnacentral:rRNA from 1 species
UACAGAGGGUGCGAGCGUUGUUCGGAAUUAUUGGGCGUAAAGCGCGUGUAGGCGGAUCGGUAAGUCGGACGUGAAAUCCCUCAGCUCAACUGAGGAAGUGCGCCCGAAACUGCCAAUCUAGAGUGUCGGAGAGGAUGGCGGAAUUCCCGGUGUAGAGGUGAAAUUCGUAGAUAUCGGGAGGAACACCAGCGGCGAAGGCGGCCAUCUGGACGAUAACUGACGCUGAUACGCGAAAGCGUGGGGAGCAAACAGG